GAUGAACGCUGGCGGCGUGCCUAAUACAUGCAAGUCGAGCGAACGGACGAGAAGCUUGCUUCUCUGAUGUUAGCGGCGGACGGGUGAGUAACACGUGGAUAACCUACCUAUAAGACUGGGAUAACUUCGGGAAACCGGAGCUAAUACCGGAUAAUAUUUUGAACCGCAGGGUUCAAAAGUGAAAGACGGUCUUGCUGUCACUUAUAGAUGGAUCCGCGCUGCAUUAGCUAGUUGGUAAGGUAACGGCUUACCAAGGCAACGAUGCAUAGCCGACCUGAGAGGGUGAUCGGCCACACUGGAACUGAGACACGGUCCAGACUCCUACGGGAGGCAGCAGUGGGGAAUCUUCCGCAAUGGGCGAAAGCCUGACGGAGCAACGCCGCGUGAGUGAUGAAGGUCUUCGGAUCGUAAAACUCUGUUAUUAGGGAAGAACAUAUGUGUAAGUAACUGUGCACAUCUUGACGGUACCUAAUCAGAAAGCCACGGCUAACUACGUG
rnacentral:rRNA from 1 species